AUGAUACUCCCUCCGUCCCAAAAUUCUUGUCUUAGAUUUGUCUAGAUACGGAUGUAUCUAAUACUAAAACAUGACUUGAUACAUCCAUAUUUAAACAAAUUUAAGACAAGAAUUUUGGGACGGAGGGAGUACAAU
rnacentral:pre_miRNA from 1 species